AGCAAAUCAGUGCCAUAAUGUUUUGAAUUUUAAAAGGCAUUGAAUACUUAAUAUUGAAAUUUAAACAACACUGAAUUCUCAUCUGAAUAUAUUUCAAUGUAAAAUAAAAUUCAGGUUGCUCAAAUUCGAGCCUAAAAAUUUCGAUCUUAAAUAAUUCAACCAUAAAAAAUUCGACCCUAUCAAAUUCGAUCCGAAAAUUUUCGAGCUGAAAACAUUUGAGCUGAAAAAAUUUGAGCCUAUAAAAUUCGAGCCUAAAAAAUUUGAGCCUAUCAAAUUCGACCCGAAAAAUUCAGAGUUUAAAAAAUUCAGAUUUUUAACAUCCGGGAUAUCAAGGACAGGUAGAGCAAUCGAGCCUCAAUGCAAUCGAACCAACUUCUGACCUAUCAGAGCACAGACCUUCAGUCAAGCACUCUGAGGAAGCGGGAAACCUUCAAGCUCAAGAAAGAAGAGAAGAGGAAAAGAACGAUGGCUACCCGUGACAGCAACCAGGCUUCGGGUAAUCACGCUGAGGUUGUAAAAUCGGUCAGGACCUUAUUGUCUUUACUGACAUCACGAGGUGCAAGCAGUGGUGAUGUCCCUUCUACAAGUCAGGAUAUAAGGGAACAGAGGCAGGGAGGACAGAAUGGGCAGGGAGGACAGAAUGGGCAGUCAGGCCAUCAGUCACAAAGACCUUCAGUUCAAAUUGAAAUGACAAGGUCCUUUCCAGGUAUGUUUACGAAGGCAAAAGGAAAGAGGCGUUUUCCUGCAGUAAAUGUUGUUCCUGCUAAAAGAGCUAAACCACUUCAAGUGGCUUUCCAUCUGUUACCUAAACAAUAUCAAAAAUCUCCCACUGAGCUAGAGCAACUAGUUCAC